GACGUAGGGCGCGAGCGUUGUCCGGAUUUAUUGGGCGUAAAGAGCUCGUAGGCGGCUUGUUACGUCGACUGUGAAAACCCGCGGCUCAACCGUGUGGUCUGCAGUCGAUACGGGCAGGCUAGAGUUCGGUAGGGGAGACUGGAAUUCUUGGUGUAGCAGUGAAAUGCGUAGAGAUCAUGAGGAAGACCAGUGGCGAAGGCGGGUCUCUGGACAGUUCCUGACACUGAGGCACGAAGGCCAGGGGAGCAAACAGG
rnacentral:rRNA from 1 species